rnacentral:rRNA from 1 species
UACAGAGGUCCCAAGCGUUGUUCGGAUUCACUGGGCGUAAAGGGUGCGUAGGCGGUCGGGUAAGUCUGAUGUGAAAUCUCACAGCUUAACUGUGAAACUGCAUUGGAUACUAUUCGGCUUGAGAGUUGGAGGGGGGACUGGAAUUCUUGGUGUAGCAGUGGAAAUGCGUAGAUAUCAAAGAGGAACACCAGUGGCGAAGGCGAGUCCCUGGACAACUUCUGACGCUGAGGCACGAAAGCUAGGGGAGCAAACAGG